rnacentral:lncRNA from 1 species
GUGAGAGAACCGGAGGGGCAUUUUCUUACAUACCACAUCAAAAGAUCCCAUUCAUUAAAAGGGCGACAGAGAGACAAAACAGAGUUUGGGGACUGAUGAGCCUUUUGCCUCUUGCGAUGACUUCGCCCUGUUGGAGGAGAGCUGGAACUUUAGAUGCCUGCCAAGGUGAUUGAAAGAAAGAAGAUGGAACGCUUCAGGGUGGCUGGUCUAGAAGAAUUGGAUGCUAUUUACAGUAACAAAUAAGCCCUGCCACUGAAAUUCUCCGUAUGUUAUAGAAGGGCAUAUUUAAAAUCUCAAGUGACUGCAGAGGACACCUACCCUAGAGAACCUCAAAUGGGAUGUCCUGGAACCUGGAGAAUUCAGAGGUGUCUCAGCUGUCAAUGAAGACAGGGAACAACAUUUAGUGUCCAGGUGACUCGGGCUAAAGGAUGGAGGCAAUGGAAAUUUCCUCAUGUUAAAAGUAAGAACUGCAUCACAUUACCAAGUGC